UGGGGAAUAUUGCACAAUGGGCGAAAGCCUGAUGCAGCAACGCCGCGUGAGUGAUGAAGGCCUUCGGGUUGUAAAGCUCUGUCUUUUGGGACGAUAAUGACGGUACCAAAGGAGGAAGCCACGGCUAACUACGUGCCAGCAGCCGCGGUAAUACGUAGGUGGCAAGCGUUGUCCGGAUUUACUGGGCGUAAAGGAUGCGUAGGCGGAUUUUUAAGUGAGAUGUGAAAUACCCGGGCUUAACUUGGGUGCUGCAUUUCAAACUGGGAAUCUAGAGUGCGGGAGAGGAGAAUGGAAUUCCUAGUGUAGCGGUGAAAUGCGUAGAGAUUAGGAAGAACACCAGUGGCGAAGGCGAUUCUCUGGACCGUAACUGACGCUGAGGCAUGAAAGCGU
rnacentral:rRNA from 1 species